rnacentral:rRNA from 1 species
GACGAACGCUGGCGGCGUGCUUAACACAUGCAAGUCGAACGGAAAGGCCCUUCGGGGUACUCGAGUGGCGAACGGGUGAGUAGCACGUGGGUGAUCUGCCCUGCACUUUGGGAUAAGCCUGGGAAACUGGGUCUAAUACCGAAUAGGACCACGCGCUUCAUGGUGUGUGGUGGAAAGCUUUUGCGGUGUGGGAUGGGCCCGCGGCCUAUCAGCUUGUUGGUGGGGUAAUGGCCUACCAAGGCGACGACGGGUAGCCGGCCUGAGAGGGUGACCGGCCACACUGGGACUGAGAUACGGCCCAGACUCCUACGGGAGGCAGCAGUGGGGAAUAUUGCACAAUGGGCGCAAGCCUGAUGCAGCGACGCCGCGUGAGGGAUGACGGCCUUCGGGUUGUAAACCUCUUUCACCAGGGACGAAGCGUAAGUGACGGUACCUGGAGAAGAAGCACCGGCCAACUACGUG